GUUUCCGGCAGCGGACGGCCAAGAAGGGCCGCCGCCGCUGCUGCUCCGUUCACGCCGCGUUAGCGGCGCUUGGCCUUCGGCCGCGCCGCCCCAGCCUCGCCCACGACGUCGCCUCGCUUCGACUCCGUCUGUCUUGGCCGUGGGUGGCCGGCGGGCUGCUGCAACGCAUGCAGCGCCGGCAGCCGCGGCCUUGACAGCUCGGCGUCGAGCUCGGACAGCCCGUACCCUUCUCCCUCUCGUCUCUCACACUCAACAAGGCAACGAAAAGAAAA
rnacentral:lncRNA from 1 species